rnacentral:tRNA from 1 species
AUGGGAAUCGAACCCACAAUGUUCCGCUUACCGGGCAGAUGCUAUGUCCACUAGGCU